rnacentral:rRNA from 1 species
UACGUAGGGGGCAAGCGUUGUCCGGAUUUAUUGGGCGUAAAGAGCGUGUAGGCGGCCAGGGAGGUCCGUUGUGAAAACUCGAGGCUCAACCUCGAGACGCCGAUGGAAACCCCCUGGCUAGAGUCCGGAAGAGGAGAGUGGAAUUCCUGGUGUAGCGGUGAAAUGCGCAGAUAUCGGGAAGAACACCCGUGGCGAAGGCGGCUCUCUGGGACGGUACUGACGCUGAGACGCGAAAGCGUGGGGAGCGAACAGG